rnacentral:rRNA from 1 species
AUUGAACGCUGGCGGCAGGCCUAACACAUGCAAGUCGAGCGGAUGAAGGGAGCUUGCUCCUGGAUUCAGCGGCGGACGGGUGAGUAAUGCCUAGGAAUCUGCCUGGUAGUGGGGGAUAACGUCCGGAAACGGGCGCUAAUACCGCAUACGUCCUGAUGGAGAAAGUGGGGGAUCUUCGGACCUCACGCUAUCAGAUGAGCCUAGGUCGGAUUAGCUAGUUGGUUGGGUAAAGGCCUACCAAGGCGACGAUCCGUAACUGGUCUGAGAGGAUGAUCAGUCACACUGGAACUGAGACACGGUCCAGACUCCUACGGGAGGCAGCAGUGGGGAAUAUUGGACAAUGGGCGAAAGCCUGAUCCAGCCAUGCCGCGUGUGUGAAGAAGGUCUUCGGAUUGUAAAGCACUUUAAGUUGGGAGGAAGGGCAGUAAGUUAAUACCUUGCUGUUUUGACGUUACCAACAGAAUAAGCACCGGCUAACUUCGUG